UUUAUUUAUUUUAUUAUAAUUGUUUUUUGUUAGUUUAUUUUUUAAUAAAAGAAAUUUUAUUUAUUAUUUUGUCUUAGUAUAUUUUAUAGAAUUGAUUAUUUUUGUUAUAGUUUAAUAGUAAUGUAAUUGGAUUAUGAAAUAAUUUUUUAAUUAUCAAAAAGUAGAUUUAAUUUGUUGUAUCUUUUGUAUCAGGGUUUAUUAAAUUUUUAGUAUUUAUUUACUAAUCUCGAUUUAGGUUGAUUUACAAAUAAAUUAAAGUUAAUGUGUCAUAAUUAUUUUUAAUUUAUUUGUAGAAAUGAAAUGUUAAUCGUUUCCUAAUAUAUCUAGUUUCUUAAGAAAAAAUUUAAUUUUUUAAAGUCAACAGUUUUUAUUUACUUUUAUAUGUUGAAAUGUUGACUUAUUUAUUCUUUAGGGGAUAAGCUCUAGAGUUUUCCUAUAAUUUUAUUAAUUUUGAUUUAAUAGUAAGCUUUAAACCAGCUAUCUUUUUUAUUACGUUUUAGUUCAUUAUUUAUUAUUUUGAUUUUAUAAUUAUUUUAGGUUUAAUAUUAAGAUUAUUAAUUUAAUUUUUAAUUAUUGUAAUAAUGAUAGAAUUAGUAUAUAUUUAUUGUUUAUAAUAUUUUAUUAUGUUAAUUUAUUAUAAGGAAUUAGGCAAAAGUGAUUUCCGCCUGUUUAUCAAAAACAU
rnacentral:rRNA from 1 species